UACGUAGGGUGCGAGCGUUGUCCGGAAUUAUUGGGCGUAAAGCGCGCGCAGGCGGUUCUUUAAGUCUGAUGUGAAAGCCCACGGCUCAACCGUGGAGGGUCAUUGGAAACUGGGGAACUUGAGUACAGAAGAGGAAAGCGGAAUUCCACGUGUAGCGGUGGAAUGCGUAGAGAUCGGAAGAACACCGGAGGCGAAGGCGGCUUCUGGGCGUGAUCUGACGCUGAGGCGCGAAAGCGUGGGGAGCGAACAGG
rnacentral:rRNA from 1 species